AAGACAGGAGAGAUUCAGGAGAUUCAGAGAUGACAAUGAUCUUCAAGGAUCCAGAGGAAUUCAAAGCAGAGGAUACUUUUUAUUUAGGCCAAGGAACGGAAAGCGGUCAACAACCUGCCAAAAAGAUUUCUGUCUGUUUGGACACUUGUACAUAAAAUGAAUGGAG